AACGAACGCUGGCGGCGUGGAUAAGACAUGCAAGUCGAACGAGAAACUUUUGGAGCUUGCUUUGAAAGUUUCUAGUGGCGGACGGGUGAGUAACACGUGAGCAACCUGCCCUAAAGUGGGGGAUAGCCCGAGGAAACUCGGAUUAAUACCCCAUGUGGUUUUACGACUAAAGGCGCUUCGGCGUCGCUUUAGGAUGGGCUCGCGGCCUAUCAGCUAGUUGGUGAGGUAAUGGCUCACCAAGGCGACGACGGGUAGCUGGUCUGAGAGGACGAUCAGUCACACUGGAACUGAGACACGGUCCAGACACCUACGGGUGGCAGCAGUCGAGAAUCAUUCGCAAUGGACGAAAGUCUGACGGUGCGACGCCGCGUGGAGGAUGAAGGCCCUUGGGUCGUAAACUCCUGUCAUCAGGGAGUAAAGCAUCUGGGAGGUAAUGCCUGGAUGCCUGAUAGUACCUGAAGAGGAAGAGACGGCUAACUCUG
rnacentral:rRNA from 1 species